AACGGAGGCCUGGUUAAUGCUAGGAUUCACGCUAUUGUUAAUUACGAUGCAGGUUGUAUGCACCAUUUUAGGAUAUAUUUACUAUAAACGAUCGUCUGAUGGGCACCUAGGUGUUUUUAAAGGAGUUGUUGAGCUUUUCAAGAGUAUGUGGUUUGAAAUAACAAAUAACAGAUUUGUCAAUGAGAAGACGAUGCCAAAUUACAGAAAACAGUUUGGAAUAUUUUGUGUACUGACUGGAUUCAAUAUGGUAUUAUAAU